GAUGCGACGCCGGAAUCGUCUUCGUCGAUGACGGGAACUGACUCAUCAACGUCGGAAACUGUAACAUUACUCUCUCUAUCUAAAAAUCGAAGGUCUAAUAACAAUCAUAAUCAAAACGCAGCGUAUUUGUUAUGAAGGACUCGGCCUUUAGUUAAUGUUAUUGGGCUUUCACCCACGUAGCCUAUUAAUACAGAAUUAAUUGGCCCAACAUAUUGUUUGUCUACUGUACAUAAAGAACUUAUGUGAAAGUGAAACUACACACACAAAACAGUGAAAGUACUUGUCAUACUCGUAUCCAUUUCAUUUAAAUCCACCGUUUAAUAAGGGGAUAAAGUAUUUAGUGGUAGAUCUGGUGGGGAUUUUGCUUUAGAUAUUGUAGAAGACUUGUUUUUAAAGCGAAGGCCCAUUUGGCCCACUCUAUCUUUUAUAGGUUGGGGGAAAAUCUUUAAAUUAUUUUUUUUUUUCUAAAAGUUCAGGAAAAAAUACUAGAGCAAGUUUAUCGGUGAGAUUAAGAGAGAAUAUCAGCUAUUGAAAGAAAAUUUAAGAUAAUAAAAAAAGCAUGUGAUAUGUUAAGAAAAGUUCUCACUAGCGAACCUUCAGGUUGUAACAAUUACCACCAAAUUGUUGGCUUAAAUUUUGUUAGAAAGGAAAAUUUAUUUUAUCAUUUGAAACCUUUUUUUUUUAUUUUUCUUAGAAACUUUAAUAGUUUCUUGGCGAUGAGGCUGCCCUUAUCCAUUGUAUAACUCGCAUGUCAUUCAUUUUCACUGUUGUUUAAGUCCGGCCUCUAAUCCUAAUAAAAAAAAGUUUGAUCAUAUUUUGUUUAACUUAUCAAGUCACGUAGCAUGUGGAGAUGGAUAUGAACAAUAGUCAAUAAUAUAAGGAAGCAAAUUAUAGAUAAAACAUUGACUAAGAAUCUUGCAAGAAAAAGUUCGGUGAAUAGUUGUAAAGCCUUACAUUGUGUUGAAAAACUUAGGGUAAAAUGAAAAAGCAUCAAAUAUUGACUAUGAAUCUUGCAAGAAAAUGUUAACUAAAUAGUUGUAAAGGCUGUACAUUGUGUAGAAAAACUUAGGGUAAAUUGAAAAGCAUCACAUUAUUAUUUACAAAAGGCCGAACACAACUUUAAAAAGCUUCACUCUUUAUUACCUUUUUUCCACACCCCAUUUCCUGUGAGAAUGAAACUUAGCAUGCGGGAAUAUAACUAUACGGCUUUGCUUCAGAAAAAACGACACAAAACUUAUCUUUAUAUGACUUACACACAUUUAUACAAGUCUUUGAAUCUGUGUACGUAUAUCUAUCUAUUUUACAGUAUAUAUAUGUUGGUUGACAUCAGUUUGAAAAUAUAAUAAGCAAUAUGUUUCUUGCUUCAAAUCUUCCUCAAAAGCUUGUGUUCUUGAUCUUGGUUUGUCUCGGUGAGAGUGAAGAUGAUGAUGCUGGAAGCUCUUGUCCUGGUUAAGUCACGUUGAGGUCAUCUACUCCAUUGAUGAAGCUAAGUGGGGAAUAAGCAUUCCUGGUCCGAAUUGACUUCACUUUUAAAUCUUAUUACAUAUGUAUUUUAUAAUAACUCAAUGUUGUUAGUUAAAGUUGGUAUGUUUUAAUCACUUACGUGUGUGUUUAACUCACUGAAUGUACGGUAGCAUUUUUAUCAUAAAGUAAUCAAAGGCUUAUGCUUUGGAAUAUAAGAUUUCACAUGAAUUUAAAUA
rnacentral:lncRNA from 1 species